GAUGCAGAGGUCUUCAAUUGUUCUUGGUUUUGUCGCACAUGCAGUCUUUCUCAUUGCCUCUUAUCUUGAUGUUCCUUUACGAUACCCGCUGCACUUAGGAGGUUCUCGUUCGCACAUUUGUGACUAUGCGCCAUCAACAGAGGCCACAAAAUCUGAUUCAACUGUCAGUUCAGUUGUUGAUGCUAGUGCGAAGCC